CAAUAGCGUAUAUUAAAGUUGUUGCGGUUAAAAAGCUCGUAGUUGGAUUUCUGCUGAGGACGACCGGUCCGCCCUCUGGGUGAGUAUCUGGCUCGGCCUGGGCAUCUUCUUGGAGAACGUAGCUGCACUUGACUGUGUGGUGCGGUAUCCAAGACCUUUACUUUGAGGAAAUUAGAGUGUUUCAAGCAGGCACACGCCUUGAAUACAUUAGCAUGGAAUAAUAAGAUAGGACUUUGGUCUAUUUUGUUGGUUUGCAGACCGAAGUAAUGAUUAAUAGGGAUAGUUGGGGGUAUUUAUAUUCCGAUGUCAGAGGUGAAAUUCUUAGAUUUUCGGAAGAUAAACUUAUGCGAAAGCAUUUACCAAGGAUGUUUNCAUUAA
rnacentral:rRNA from 1 species